GAUAGGGAGGGUAUCCUAGUCUACCCAAGUGUGCCCAAUGUUAUCAAAGGGUCUUUAUGAGAGGAAGAGAGAGGAAGAGACAGGAGAGGCAAUGCCAGAGUGGGAAGAAGUGCACCAGGAGCUGAGAACUUCAGGCCCCGUCUAGAAGCGGGAAAAGAUCUAUCUUCACAUGCAGUAUUGAAUAAUUUAUCAUUACAUCGUACUCUGGUGCCAUGGAAUUCACUUCAAAAGCCACUUGAAUCUGGAAUGUUCAGGUAUUACCACUUUACCAUUACAUGUGUGGAUAUUUUCACCAGCCUAUUGCUUGGUACACCCAUCAGGAAUACCUAUGAGAUCCAGAGAGUGGAAUAAUUGCAGCUGGCCCCACUGAAGGAAUGGUGUGGAUCUCUAAAAGGAAGAAGAGACACUCAGGUUUGUUGAUACCAAUAACAUUAGAAGAUGACAGCAUGGUGAUACAAUUGGAAAACUUGGUCCUACUCCACUUUGGAGGAGGCCACCAAUGAGCUGCAGACCCACCACAGCCCCAUAAUCACAUGGAGUGGUCAAGAGGAAGGUACACAACUAUAAAAAUGAAGAUGCUUGAUGCUGCUGGCCUUACUCUGUGACUUUUGUGCCAUCUGGGUCAUGGGGCUUCUCCUCGUACCCAGAGAAGCAACACUAGAAAAUUAUUGGAAUCACACAGCACUUAGCUGCAACUUCACCCCAAGAUUGGGGGAUGGCCAGUGUAGGAGCCCAGCCAUAGAGGGGCUGCACCUGAUAUGACACCAAGCAUGGAUACUACCUGGACAAUUUUAAAUGGAACCAAUGGCACAAAUGCUUAAAGACCACCAGUCCUGUUCAUUUUUUUUUUUAAUUUUUUUUUCAACGUUUAUUUAUUUUUGGGACAGAGAGAGA